GGAAGGUCGAGAUGGACCAUGUUGGGCCCCUUCUCUCCCCGUCCCCAGGCCGCAGUUCGGGGGCCACGCCCCGGCGUGCUCGGGUCACCGCGGGAAGCCCUUGAACCCCCUGGCGCCCGGCACCCACGUGCGGUAACCGCGGCUCCUCGAGAGCUCCAGGGAUGCGGAUCUACAUGUCCAUUCAAGAAUUGUGCCCACAAUAUACCAGGCACUUGUCCAGACCUGCAUCGUCCAAUGCCCACCUCGACCUCCCAAAGUGUUGGGAUUAGAGGCGUGAGCCACCGCGCCCUGCCUGCAUGUGGCUAUUGAGAUGUGCUGUAUGAUACACACUGGACUUUGAAGACUCAGUGUGAAAAAUGAAAAGAAUUUUAAGAGGGGUGGGGGUCGAGGGGAGGCAGAGCAGUAGGACAAAUAGCUAAUGCACGCAGGGCUUAACACCUAGACAACAGGUUGAUGGGUGCAGCAAACCACCAUGACACAUGUUUAUCUAUAUAGCACCUACAUGUUCUGCACUUGGAUCCUGG
rnacentral:lncRNA from 1 species